CAACACAGUACCUUCGUCACCACGAAACCAGCAACGCCUGCAGUUCUGGCAACAUGUUUUUGAAGAACACAACACAGUACCUUCGUCACCAGGAAACCAGCAACGCCUGCAGUUCUGGCAACCUAUUUUCGAGGAACCCAACACAGUACCUUCGUCACCACGAAACCAGCAAUGC
rnacentral:lncRNA from 1 species